rnacentral:lncRNA from 1 species
AUGGGCAGCAAGAUGGCUUCCGCCACCAGGGUCGUGCAGGUAGUGAAGCCACAUGCUCCAUUAAUAAAGUUCCCUAACAGAAGAGACAAACGUAAACUCAGUGCCUCAGAAGCUUUGGGGUCUGCAGCGCUCCCCUCCCACUCCUCUGCAAUUUCACAGCAUUCUAAAGGAAGUACGUCCCCCGAUUUACUGAUGCACCAGGGGCCACCAGACACUGCAGAAAUUAUAAAAUCAUUACCUCAGAAAUACAGAAGGAAACCUAUGUCUCAAGAGGAAAUGGAAUUUAUCCAGUGUGGGGGUCCAGAGUGA